rnacentral:tRNA from 1 species
AUUUAUGUAGUUUAACUUAAAACAAUUCAUUUUCAAUGAUUAAAUGAAUGUAUAUUCCAUAAAUA